rnacentral:rRNA from 1 species
UGGGGAAUAUUGGACAAUGGGCGAAAGCCUGAUCCAGCCAUGCCGCGUGUGUGAAGAAGGUCUUCGGAUUGUAAAGCACUUUAAGUUGGGAGGAAGGGCAUUAACCUAAUACGUUAGUGUUUUGACGUUACCGACAGAAUAAGCACCGGCUAACUUCGUGCCAGCAGCCGCGGUAAUACGAAGGGUGCAAGCGUUAAUCGGAAUUACUGGGCGUAAAGCGCGCGUAGGUGGUUCGUUAAGUUGGAUGUGAAAGCCCCCGGGCUCAACCUGGGAACUGCAUCCAAAACUGGCGAGCUAGAGUACGGUAGAGGGUGGUGGAAUUUCCUGUGUAGCGGUGAAAUGCGUAGAUAUAGGAAGGAACACCAGUGGCGAAGGCGACCACCUGGACUGAUACUGACACUGAGGUGCGAAAGCGUGGGGAGCAAAACAGGAUUAGAUACCCUGGUAGUCCACGCCGUAAAACGAUGUCAACUAGCCGUUGGGUUCCUUGAGAACUUAGUGGCGCAGCUAACGCAUUAAGUUGACCGCCUGGGGAGUACGGCCGCAAGGUUAAAACUCAAAGGAAUUGACGGGGUCAUAGCUGUUUCC